UACGUAGGGGGCUAGCGUUGUCCGGAUUUAUUGGGCGUAAAGAGCGUGUAGGCGGCCAGGUAGGUCUGCUGUGAAAACUCGAGGCUCAACCUCGAGACGUCGGCGGAAACCAUCUGGUUAGAGUCCGGAAGAGGAGAGUGGAAUUCCUGGUGUAGCGGUGAAAUGCGCAGAUAUCAGGAAGAACACCCGUGGCGAAGGCGGCUCUCUGGGACGGUACUGACGCUGAGGAGCGAAAGCGUGGGGAGCGAACAGG
rnacentral:rRNA from 1 species